AGCUAUCUCCAUGAUGAUUUUCAUUUACCAAAACAUUGAAAUGUUUUCGCAUGCCAAACUAGGUGACCACUAUGACAAAAAGAUAGACUGUGUCCUUCCUCCUACGGUUAAUGCCUUAAUGGCAAAUCCGCGCGCCACCAUUCACAAUUUUUUGAGUAGCAUGUGAGAAAAUAAGAAAUUAAGUAAAUCUGAAAAGAUGAUAGUAUCAUAGUAUUACUCUUGGUUUAAGAACAAAAAAAAGAUGAUAUUACUUCCUCGUUGUGUUUGGACAAAAAUAUGUGUGCAUGGUUGCAUCGGGUUAUGGUAAGAUGAAGUCUUAACACAAAGCAACCGGAGAUGAAUAAUACAACUACAAUAAAUAUAAGAUUAUAGUAAUAAGAAUUCAAAGUCAAAUUAAUAAGGGUGAAUGUUUUUGUACGUCUUUUUUCUUUUAUUUCCCCUUAUGUUUUUGUACGUUUAAGAAUAGGGGAUGGGUUAAUUAGCCUGGUGAAAGACUAUAUUUGUUUAAUGUAGCAAUUGUUUGGACUUUUCAUAAUAGUCAUUGUGGAGGUAAAUAUGAUUGAAUGAUACAAGGGUAUGAAUUGUUCUUACAGUAUACAAGAGUUAAUUUAGACUAUAAUUUUAAAUUACAACGUUCAGUGUCUGGAGUAGAUCAAUGAGAUUCGAUGAUACAUAUUUCAAAA
rnacentral:lncRNA from 1 species